UAACAUAAACUAAGUUCUCAUCCACCAGUUCCAAAAAAAAAAAGAGAUUGAAAAAAAAUAUCUCGAUCUCUAGUUCAUCUUCCACAAUCUACGUGUUCCGCCGUUCUUCUUUCUACUCAUCAUCAUUAAACCCAGAUGCCUCACAAUCUCCCGAUUAUUGUUUUCGCUGAGGCUAGGCUAGCUUUGGGAAUCUAAUCACUUGUCUCACUACACCAAGGAAACGAUACCCUGCUACAAACAUUACCACAUGGCAAGGGAUUUUUUUCCUACUUAUUUCUUUAAUUUCUGGGUUUUGAUCCUUUUCCUUUGUUGUGAUCCCUUUAUUAUGUUCAUUAGAUAACCUUGUAUGAAUGAUCAUCAUGAAACAUUAACUUUGUGGACAACAAUUUGUGGAUUUUAGCUUUAUGGAUGUCUUAUAAUGACAACAUUAAAUAUA